UGGGGAAUUUUGGACAAUGGGCGAAAGCCUGAUCCAGCAAUGCCGCGUGUGUGAAGAAGGCCUUCGGGUUGUAAAGCACUUUUGUCCGGAAAGAAAUCCUUGGCUCUAAUACAGUCGGGGGAUGACGGUACCGGAAGAAUAAGCACCGGCUAACUACGUGCCAGCAGCCGCGGUAAUACGUAGGGUGCAAGCGUUAAUCGGAAUUACUGGGCGUAAAGCGUGCGCAGGCGGUUUGCUAAGACCGAUGUGAAAUCCCCGGGCUCAACCUGGGAACUGCAUUGGUGACUGGCAGGCUAGAGUAUGGCAGAGGGGGGUAGAAUUCCACGUGUAGCAGUGAAAUGCGUAGAGAUGUGGAGGAAUACCGAUGGCGAAGGCAGCCCCCUGGGCCAAUACUGACGCUCAUGCACGAAAGCGUGGGGGAGCAAACAGGAUUAGAUACCCUGGUAGUCCACGCCCUAAACGAUGUCAACUAGUUGUUGGGGAUUCAUUUCCUUAGUAACGUAGCUAACGCGUGAAGUUGA
rnacentral:rRNA from 1 species